rnacentral:rRNA from 1 species
GAUGAACGCUGGCGGCGUGCCUAAUACAUGCAAGUCGAGCGAACGGACGAGAAGCUUGCUUCUCUGAUGUUAGCGGCGGACGGGUGGGUAACACGUGGAUAACCUACCUAUAAGACUGGGAUAACUUCGGGAAACCGGAGCUAAUACCGGAUAAUAUUUUGAACCGCAUGGUUCAAAAGUGAAAGACGGUCUUGCUGUCACUUAUAGAUGGAUCCGCGCUGCAUUAGCUAGUUGGUAAGGUAACGGCUUACCAAGGCAACGAUGCAUAGCCGACCUGAGAGGGUGAUCGGCCACACUGGAACUGAGACACGGUCCAGACUCCUACGGGAGGCAGCAGUAGGGAAUCUUCCGCAAUGGGCGAAAGCCUGACGGAGCAACGCCGCGUGAGUGAUGAAGGUCUUCGGAUCGUAAAACUCUGUUAUUAGGGAAGAACAUAUGUGUAAGUAACUGUGCACAUCUUGACGGUACCUAAUCAGAAAGCCACGGCUAACUACGUGCCAGCAGCCGCGGUAAUACGUAGGUGGCAAGCGUUAUCCGGAAUUAUUGGGCGUAAAGCGCGCGUAGGCGGUUUUUUAAGUCUGAUGUGAAAGCCCACGGCUCAACCGUGGAGGGUCAUUGGAAACUGAAAAACUUGAGUGCAGAAGAGGAAAGUGGAAUUCCAUGUGUAGCGGUGAAAUGCGCAGAGAUAUGGAGGAACACCAGUGGCGAAGGCGACUUUCUGGUCUGUAACUGACGCUGAUGUGCGAAAGCGUGGGGAUCAAACAGGAUUAGAUACCCUGGUAGUCCACGCCGUAAACGAUGAGUGCUAAGUGUUAGGGGGUUUCCGCCCCCUUAGUGCUGCAGCUAACGCAUUAAGCACUCCGCCUGGGGAGUACGACCGCAAGGUUGAAACUCAAAGGAAUUGACGGGGACCCGCACAAGCGGUGGAGCAUGUGGUUUAAUUCGAAGCAACGCGAAGAACCUUACCAAAUCUUGACAUCCUUUGACAACUCUAGAGAUAGAGCCUUCCCCUUCGGGGGACAAAGUGACAGGUGGUGCAUGGUUGUCGUCAGCUCGUGUCGUGAGAUGUUGGGUUAAGUCCCGCAACGAGCGCAGCCCUUAAGCUUAGUUGCCAUCAUUAAGUUGGGCACUCUAAGUUGACUGCCGGUGACAAACCGGAGGAAGGUGGGGAUGACGUCAAAUCAUCAUGCCCCUUAUGAUUUGGGCUACACACGUGCUACAAUGGACAAUACAAAGGGCAGCGAAACCGCGAGGUCGAGCAAAUCCCAUAAAGUUGUUCUCAGUUCGGAUUGUAGUCUGCAACUCGACUACAUGAAGCUGGAAUCGCUAGUAAUCGUAGAUCAGCAUGCUACGGUGAAUACGUUCCCGGGUCU